UAAUACGUAGGGGGCAAGCGUUGUCCGGAAUUAUUGGGCGUAAAGCGCGCGCAGGCGGUCUGUUAAGUCUUGUGUUUAAGCCCGGAGCUCAACCCCGGUUCGCAUGGGAAACUGGCAGUACUUGAGUGCAGGAGAGGAAAGCGGAAUUCCACGUGUAGCGGUGAAAUGCGUAGAGAUGUGGAGGAACACCAGUGGCGAAGGCGGCUUUCUGGACUGUAACUGACGCUGAGGCGCGAAAGCGUGGGGAGCAAACAGGAUUAGAUACCCUGGUAGUCCACGCCGUAAACGAUGAGUGCUAGGUGUCGGGGGUUUCGAUACCCGCGGUGCCGAAGUUAACGCAAUAAGCACUCCGCCUGGGGAGUACGCUCGCAAGAGUGAA
rnacentral:rRNA from 1 species